rnacentral:rRNA from 1 species
GAUGAACGCUGGCGGCGUGCCUAAUACAUGCAAGUCGAGCGAACAGAUGAGGAGCUUGCUCCUCUGACGUUAGCGGCGGACGGGUGAGUAACACGUGGAUAACCUACCUAUAAGACUGGGAUAACUUCGGGAAACCGGAGCUAAUACCGGAUAAUAUAUUGAACCGCAUGGUUCAAUAGUGAAAGACGGUUUUGCUGUCACUUAUAGAUGGAUCCGCGCCGCAUUAGCUAGUUGGUAAGGUAACGGCUUACCAAGGCAACGAUGCGUAGCCGACCUGAGAGGGUGAUCGGCCACACUGGAACUGAGACACGGUCCAGACUCCUACGGGAGGCAGCAGUAGGGAAUCUUCCGCAAAGGGCGAAAGCCUGACGGAGCACCGCCGCGUGAGUGAUGAAGGUCUUCGGAUCGUAAAACUCUGUUAUUAGGGAAGAACAAAUGUGUAAGUAACUAUGCACGUCUUGACGGUACCUAAUCAGAAAGCCACGGCUAACUACGUG